CCUACGGGAGGCAGCAGUGGGGAAUAUUGGACAAUGGGGGGAACCCUGAUCCAGCGACGCCGCGUGAGUGAAGAAGUAUUUCGGUAUGUAAAGCUCUAUCAGCAGGGAAGAAAGAAAUGACGGUACCUGACUAAGAAGUCCCGGCUAACUACGUGCCAGCAGCCGCGGUAAUACGUAGGGGGCAAGCGUUAUCCGGAUUUACUGGGUGUAAAGGGAGCGUAGACGGCGAUGCAAGUCUGAAGUGAAAGGCGGGAGCGCAACCCCCGGACUGCUUGGGAAACUGUCUGGCUGGAGUGCAGGGGAGGUAAGUGGAAUUCCUGGGGUAGCGGUGAAAUGCGUAGAUAUGAGGAGGAACACCAGUGGCGAAGGCGGCUUACUGGACUGUAACUGACGUUGAGGCUCGAAAGCGGGGGGAGCAAACAGGAUUAGAUACCCCAGUAGUC
rnacentral:rRNA from 1 species